rnacentral:misc_RNA from 1 species
UCUCCGUAGGUGAACCUGCGGAGGGAUCAUUACUGAGUGAGGGCUUCGGUCUGACCUCCAACCCUUUGUGAACCAAACUUGUUGCUUCGGGGGCGACCCUGCCGCUUCGGCGGUGCGGCGCCCCCGGAGGCCAUUAAACACUGCAUCAUUGCGUCGGAGUUAAAGUAAAUUAAACAAACCUUUCAACAACGGAUGUCAUGGUACCAGCAUCGAUGAAGAACGCAGC